rnacentral:ncRNA from 16 species
GUACGUCUUCAGGGCGGGGUGAAAUUCCCCACCGGCGGUAUGCGGACCGUGUGUCCGUGAGCCCGCGAGCGCCUUGCAUGCGCCUGCAUGCAGGGGUCAGCAGAUCCGGUGAAAUGCCGGGGCCGACGGUCAGAGUCCGGAUGGAAGAAGAUGUGC